rnacentral:rRNA from 1 species
GUUCGAUUCUGGCUCAGAUUGAACGCUGUGGGAUGCUUUACACAUGCAAGUCGAACGGCAGCACGGACUUCGGUCUGGUGGCGAGUGGCGAACGGGUGGAGUAAUGUAUCGGAACGUGCCUAGUAGCGGGGGAUAACUACGCGAAAGCGUAGCUAAUACCACAUACGCCCUUCCGGGGAAAGCGGGGGACCUUCGGGCCUCGCACUAUUAGAGCGGCCGAUAUCGGAUUAGUAGUUGGUGGGGUAACGGCUCACCAAGGCGACGAUCCGUAGCUGAAUGGUUUGAAGGACGACCAGCCACACUGGGACUGAGACACGGCCCAGACUCCUACGGGAGGCAGCAGUGGGGUACCUGGACAAUGGAAACCUGAUCCAGCCAUCCCGCGUGUGCGAUGAAGGCCUUCGGGUUGUAAAGCACUUUUGGCAGGAAAGAAACGGCACGGGAUAAUACCCCGUGCGCUGACAGUACCUGCAGAAUGGCCAUGGCCCCACAACUACGUGCCAGCAGCGCGGUAGUACGUAGGGUGCAAGCGUUAAUCGGAAUUACUGAGCGUAAGCGUGCGCAGGCGGUUCGGAAAAGAAAGUCAUGAAAUCCCGGAAGCAACUUUGGAACUGCAUUUUUAACUACCGAGCUAGAGAGUGUGUCAGAGGGAGGUGGAAUUCCCGCGUCAGCAGGUAAGUACGUAGAUAUGCGGAGGAACACCGAUAGCGAAGGCAACCUCCUGGGAUAACACUGACGCUCAUGCACGAAAAGCGUGGGGAGCAAACCAGGAUUAGAUACCCUGGUAGUCCACGCCUAAACGAUGUCAACUAGCUGUUGGGGCCUUCGGGCCUUGGUAGGCGCAGCUAACGCGUGAAGUUGACCGCCUGGGAAGGUACAGUCAACAAGAUUAAAACUCAAAAUUGACGAGACCGCACAAGCGGUGGAUGAUGUGGAUUAAUUCGAUGCAACAUAAAAAAACCUUACCUACCCUUGACAUGUCUGGAAUCCCGAAGAGAUUUGGAGUCUCAUAAAGAGAACCAGGAACACAGGUGCUGCAUGGCUGUCGUCAGCUCGUGUCGUGAGAUGUUGGGUUAAGUCCGCAACAGAGACGCAACCCUUGUCAUUAGUUGCACCUGAGGGCACUCUAAUGAGACUGCCGGUGACAAACCGGAGGAAGGUGGGGAUGACGUCAAGUCCUCAUGGCCCUUAUGGGUAGGGCUUCACACGUCAUACAAUGGUCGGGACAGAGGGUCGCCAACCCGCGAGGGGGAGCAAUCCCAGAAACCCGAUCGUAGUCCGGAUCGCAGUCUGCAACUCGACUGCGUGAAGUCAGAGAAUCGCUAGUAAUCGCGGAUCAGCAUGUCGCGGUGAAUACGUUCCAGGUCUUGUACACACCGCCCGUCACACCAUGGGAAUUAAAGGUUUUACCGAAGUAGUUAGCUAACCGUAAGGAGGGCGAUUACACGGUAAGUUCAUGACUGGGGUACCGUCGUAACUCAGGUAG